GUCUUUAAAAUACAUUAUAGAGUGGGCCGAACGAGUUCAGAGUGGGAUAUUCCACGUGUGGGUUGCUCCUUCUGCCUGGGUCCCUGAGUGAGAAGAACUGCCCAUGGCCUCCAUAUACAUACUCUGUUCUAGGUGCUGAGGAUACGUCAGUUAAGAAGACAGUCAAAAUCCCUGCCCUCAUGAUGCUUAUAUUUUUGUGGUUUGGUCUGAAGACUGGACAGAUUGAGCAUAUUGAAAAGGGAGCUUUCUGCCUAAGCUGUCGGACAAAUUCAGUUCAAAGCCAUAGAUGUUGCUUUGUUCUUCCACUUUAAUUGAAAGAAUGAAGAAUAGCUGCCAGCGGUCCUACGAAUUUGAAGAUUUGAAGCCCAUUACGGUGUUGAAGACGGUUUUCUUCCCGUUGCCAUCAUUUCAAGUUAGAGUGGAUUUGACUCCGAGAGGCUCAGAACUGUACGUAAGCGGGACCACUCUUUUUCCUUCUCUGGACCCUGUGGAUGUAUUUCAUGAUCAAAUAGCCUUGCAAGAAGCUAUGGGCCUGCGCACCCGGGGUUGGUGGGGAUCCAAAUGGACCAAGGAGGACAGAAGGCCGGUGACCUGGUUUUUUAAAUCACAGCUCCCGGUCUUUUACCCUCUAGCUUUCUUCCCCAGGCUUAGGGUCCUCUCCGUGCUUCUCUCCACAGAUCUAAGCCCACUCCUUUCCCAGCAUCCUUUCCUGCGGCUUCUUGUAAAAUGCACACGGGGACACACUCACACGGCAUCUUGUGUGUAUCCCUUCAUGUUAACCCUUUACUGCCUGACUUGUUUUUUUCCCUAUUUACUUUCUUUACAUCGUUCCAGCAUUUACUCCUGCAACUCGAUAAAGUGCCUCUUGAUUCGCCCUUGUCUCUUUUUGCCUUGUCCCUGCGUCCUGGGUGCCGUCCCUUCUCCCCCAUGGGACUGGACUCCACCCGUAGGAAGGGUAUCUCUUCCUGCCUCUGGAUUUUUCCUUCUGCUCCCUGAACAGGAGGUGCUCGUCCUGAACACACCAUCGGAUGAUCCUUCAAGUCAGUGAAUUAUUUCUGAAAUUCUGAUUUAAGAUCUUGCUCUAAAUCUGGAUGGGAAUCCAGCAUUUGUCAAGAGCACAUUUUUGUUUUCUUUUUUUUUUUUUUGCAGGGGACGGGGUGGGUUAAAUGAGAGCUGCAGCUGCUGGCCUACACCACAGCCUCAGCAACAUGGGGUCCAAGCUGCAUCUGCAACCAGUGCCACAGUUUGCCACAACACUGCGACCAGGAUCAAACCCAAAUCCUCGCAGACACUCUUUUGGGUUCUUAACCUGCUGAGCCACAAUAGGAACUCUAAGAACAAAAUUUUCUUGCUUCUGACAUUAUUAGCUCAGGGGUGACAGGAGAAGUGAGAGAGAGAAAGAGAAACAAAACAAAACCCAUGAUUCUGGAGAUGAGCACAAUUUCUUGGGCCAAUUAACUGAGACAGUUCACAUGUUUAUUAUGUUUAAACUAUUGGGUGAUUAAUUUAGGGAGUUUUAUAGGCAGUUUAAUACUCUACCAGAAUCAGACAUAAGCCAGUUUAUAUAAAAGAAGAAACAACCCUGAGAUAGCUCUACCUCUGAUGAUGACUAUGACAAAUGAAAGAUGGGACAUUAAAGAAUUUUCCAUAAAUUAUAUAGUUCAAAAUGUGGUAAAAAUAGGGAGUUCCUGUUGUGGCUCAGUGGAAAUGGAUCUGACUAGGAAC
rnacentral:lncRNA from 1 species